rnacentral:rRNA from 1 species
ACUACGGGGAGCUGCAGUGGGGAAUAUUGGACAAUGGGCGAAAGCCUGAUCCAGCCAUGCCGCGUGUGUGAAGAAGGCCUUCGGGUUGUAAAGCACUUUCAGUGGGGAAGAAAGCCUUGGGGCUAAUACCCUCGAGGAAGGACAUCACCCACAGAAGAAGCACCGGCUAACUCCGUGCCAGCAGCCGCGGUAAUACGGAGGGUGCGAGCGUUAAUCGGAAUUACUGGGCGUAAAGCGCGCGUAGGCGGUCUGAUAAGCCGGUUGUGAAAGCCCCGGGCUCAACCUGGGAACGGCAUCCGGAACUGUCAGGCUAGAGUGCAGGAGAGGAAGGUAGAAUUCCCGGUGUAGCGGUGAAAUGCGUAGAGAUCGGGAGGAAUACCAGUGGCGAAGGCGGCCUUCUGGACUGACACUGACGCUGAGGUGCGAAAGCGUGGGUAGCAAACAGGAUUAGAUACCCUUGUAGUC